rnacentral:rRNA from 1 species
UUAUACAUUAACAUUAGACUGAAACACCUGUUCAUAUAUGCCCAAGAGUGGUUAAUCACUAUAGCUAAGCAGGGCUAAGCUUGGUCAGUACCUGAAAAGGAGACCACAUGGGAAAACUAGGUUGCUGUUGGCA